UCUCAACGAGGAAGGAUGCUCCUAUCAAGAAACCCUCAGUCAAUAAAAGGAAACUCAGCUCAGGUCGAGGAGAAAUCGACUUUCUCAAAGUAACGAGAAGUUCGGGUCUCCAAGCUCGAGCAUCGGGAGGAAGCGUCAAACUCAAAUGGCCCCGAAAAGACCUACGGUCAUGAACCAAAAAGGCAAACCAACACGGCAG
rnacentral:lncRNA from 1 species